rnacentral:piRNA from 1 species
CAGCAGUAUUACUCCAUACUCUGUGUUCC